UCCGUAGGGGGCGAGCGUUGUCCGGAUUUAUUGGGCGUAAAGAGCGCGUAGGCGGCACGUCUAGUCCGAUGUGAAAUCUCCCGGCUUAACUGGGAGGGUGCGUCGGAUACUGGCGAGCUGGAGUGCGGCAGAGGAGAAUGGAAUUCCCGGUGUAGUGGUGAAAUGCGUAGAUAUCGGGAGGAACACCAGUGGCGAAGGCGGUUCUCUGGGCCGUAACUGACGCUGAGGCGCGAAAGCGUGGGUAGCGAACUGA
rnacentral:rRNA from 1 species